rnacentral:rRNA from 1 species
AUUGAACGCUGGCGGCAUGCUUUACACAUGCAAGUCGAACGGUAACAGGCCUUCGGGUGCUGACGAGUGGCGAACGGGUGAGUAAUGCAUCGGAACGUACCCAGAGGUGGGGGAUAACGCAGCGAAAGCUGUGCUAAUACCGCAUGUGAUCUGAGGAUGAAAGCGGGGGACCGAGCAGCAAUGUUUGGCCUCGCGCCUUUGGAGCGGCCGAUGUCGGAUUAGCUAGUUGGUGGGGUAAAGGCCUACCAAGGCGACGAUCCGUAGCUGGUCUGAGAGGACGACCAGCCACACUGGGACUGAGACACGGCCCAGACUCCUACGGGAGGCAGCAGUGGGGAAUUUUGGACAAUGGGCGCAAGCCUGAUCCAGCAAUGCCGCGUGCGGGAAGAAGGCCUUCGGGUUGUAAACCGCUUUUUGCAGGAACGAAACGGUGUCCGCUAAUACCGGGCGCUAAUGACGGUACCUGCAGAAUAAGCACCGGCUAACUACGUG